rnacentral:tRNA from 1 species
GAGGAUAUAGCUCCAUGGUAGAGUGUGUGCUUAGCAUGCACAAGGUCCUGGGUUCAAUCCCCAGUACCUUUA